GGGUUUCGCUCCGCAAUUCACGGAUCUAGUUUGACCCAAUUCCAUUGACUCCAUUCCUAUUUGUAAUGAACCAAAAACCAGUCCCCAGUCCCCAGUCCCCAGUUCACAAUACAAAUAUUUCAAAGGCCUGAAUUCAGCUCACCCCGGAGAAUUAUCUUAUCUCAAACUGAAAACUUGAAAACAACCCAGUUAAAUACAAACAGAGUUCUUUCACUUCUCGAAGCUAUCAAACACUCAAGAACUUAAGAAAUGCAGCAAUGGCUCAAGAAGCAGUGAACCACUAGCAAAAGAACUGGAAAAGAACAAGAAAGAAAGCAGAGUCAGAAAACGAGAGUGAAGCUUCUAAACUGUUCUCACUUCUCAGCAGAGCAGAGUUGAUUCUCAUACGGAGUUUGAAUGGCAGAUUGUCAGAAAGAAAGAGAGAGAGAGAUGAAGAAGGAGAAGCGUAGGAAGAUAGGAGUGUCCUUAAACGGGUGGGCGUUACAGUGGGGACCGGAUACGAACUCAACCCGACACUGUUUCUAUCGCAGUAGAUGACCUGUCAUUUUCUUGCAUUUAUAUUUAUGUUUUUCAACAAAAAUAAUCUAUUAGUCUUCUUGAUUUGAACCAGUUAGCUAUUUAGUAGUUUGUGAUUUUUUUCGUCACACAAAAAUAAAGAGGUCCAUCUUAGAUCCGAAUGAAGUUAGGUUGGGAGGUACGGUAAGGUUAUUAUUAUUAUUAUUGAACAUUUAGACGUCACAUCAUUAACGUUGAAUACUUUGAAUA